rnacentral:rRNA from 1 species
GACAGGGGGUGCAAACGUUGCUCGGAAUCACUGGGCGUAAAGCGCACGUAGGCGGUUUUGUAAGUCAGAUGUGAAAUCCCACGGCUCACCCGUGGAAUUGCGUCUGAUACUGCAGAGCUUGAGGACGGGAGGGGAGAGUGGAAUUCCUGGUGGAGCGGUGAAAUGCGUAGAUAUCAGGAGGAACACCGGUGGCGAAAGCGACUCUCUGGUCCGAUCCUGACGCUGAGGUGCGAGAGCUAGGGGAGCAAACGGG